rnacentral:lncRNA from 1 species
GUUUGAACGGCGCGCCUGCGGCUGCCACGGCGUCGACGAGAUCGAUGUCGCGCGACUUGACGGCGCGGCCCAAGAGGCUGACCCGCGUCACCGGCGCCACGCCCACUUUGUGCAGGAAGAGCACGACGUCAUUGUGUCCGGCGCGUGCCGCAUGGCGCGCGGCUUCGGGCGUCACGCACUCGGGGUGGUGCUCAUAGAGCCAUCGGAUGACGUUGGCGUUACCCUCGCGAGCGGCGAUGAGAGCCACAGGCACGUCCCUCCAUUCGGGCACGGCCGGCGGUCGGCCGGCCUCGCCUGCGGCCCAACGGAGCACGUCGAUGCAACCGGGCCUGCCGUAAUGUACCGCCGCUUGGAUGGUCGACACCGAGCAGCGGCGUAGGUUGGACUCGUGUGCCCAGCGCACCGUGCCCACGUGUCCAUGGGCAGCCGCUUCGUCCACUGCCCGCCGUCCAACAACGGCAUGUUGGCCCAUCUUGGAUGCCGCCCAUCGGGCAAGCACAACGCGUCCUGCGGCGACGGCAUCCUCCAGGAGGUGUCUGUUGGGUACGCACGCGCCCGGACAUUGUGUCUCGAUCAACCAGUCGAGGACGUUCACGUGGCCCGCGUUCCACGCUGCCAUACCCACGCUGGUCAACUCUUGGAUGUUGCCGCCGUAGGGCAGCCUGCUUCGACAGGCGAUAUGGAGGUCAAACGACCGCGGCUCGCGACCUGCCGCGAUGUCGCUUUCUUGGCGGCGCCGCGCGCACUCGGCCACGGCGUUGUGAAAGGCCUUGACGACGUUGAGACGACCCAAGCGUGCGGCACGCGCCAUGAGGCCCGUGGCGGCGACCGUCUCGUUAAAACCGUAGCGCUGUGCGAGCGCACUAAUGACGCGCAUGUGGUUGCCGUCCAACGCCGCGCAAAGGGCGUCCUUGACACAGGCGCGCGCGUCGGGCGAGUCAGGGUCGGACGGUUUCGGGGCAGUCCACGAGGUGAUGGCCGCGCGCGCUCCCAACGACUGCACAAUGUACAUGACAAUGUCGUGACGUCCACGCGACGCCGCCUUGACAAUCAUACCCAGUUGCGGUUCGCGUCCGUAGCGCGCGCACACAAAUUGGAUAUCGGCCAGGGUCUCGUUCGAGUCGAAAAUGUCGCGCGCGGCAUAGCGUCGCAAGAGCACGUCCUGCGGGCUGCAGACGUGAAACCGACUCGACGCCAGCAUACACGCGAGAUAGUCACGAUCGUUGAGGAGACUCACGAUGGCGCGCACGGUCUCGGGCGGCAACGAGGCAAACGGGCUCGAGUCAUCAGCCGCCGGCGUUGUCGUCGACUGCAACGCGUCGCCAGAUGGGCGUAGUUUGGCGGGCGAGGUCGAGUUAAAGAUACGAACGCGUGUUUGUUCGACUGCGCUGGCCAAUCGCACCCUCUUGUGCAAGGGCGCACCAACGACCGUCCCAUCCAGAGGGGCGCCAGGAGAAAGGGUCGGGUGUGUGCCCGAGCCAGGCACGCGGCCGUCGUCGUUCAAUAAUGCACCAUCCGAACCAUGGUCUCGGCGGCGCUUGAGCGUGGUGGGUGCGCGCGGCGCCUGGUGGCAAGCGCAAUUGGGACAAAAAGAUGGACGGCUGUUGCUGUUGUUGUUAUUGUCGUCGUCCCGGCUCGGAUGUGGCGCCGACGCAGAGCGCGGCGUGUUCAUUGUGUGGUCCCGGUCGUGCUGCCUGUGAUGCGUUCUUACCGGUGAGGUUGGAGCGGACAGUGGCGUGGACCCUGCGUGGGCGGAAGGAACGAAUGAUGCUUGUGACGUCACGGCGUCCCCUUUUUAUCAAAAAAACCUCUUUUCGAC